GGGCGCUCCCCCGCAGCCCACGCGCUACGUUUGUAACGACGCAGAGAUGAGCACGGCUCCUGCGCAGGGAUGAUGCGCACGUUCUCCAAGCGCUCCAUGUUUUU